GGGCUGGUGAUCCCGGAGCGAGCAAUGGAGGGGGAGCUUCUUUUCGAGGACCUGAAAGAGCUUGUGGAAAAACUGGUAGAAACAGAGGAUCCAUCAUCUGCGCCUGAGUCUAUUGACAGACUCUACAGUGAAGUGGGAAAUGUGGAAAAAAUGGCAUUUAGUGCUACCCAGAGAGCCCAGAUUGAAGUACUUGCAGUGAACCUAUGGAACUGGGCAGUGAGCAGAAGAGUAGGUCUACUAAUCCCUCCUGAACAAAAAGUUAAAUGUAAGUAGACAUCAACUGGCCUACAUGAUGAAAAAAUCCUCUUUUUGGGCAUUGAGAGACAUACAUUCUUAGAGUUUCAGACAGGGAGGCAGCCUAGAUUGGGGGGUCAGUGGGCCUGGGUUUGAAUCCUUUGGGCAUUGCCACUUACUACUGGCUGUGGGACCUUGGGUCAGUCACUUCCUUUCUGGGCCUCAUAUUCUUCAUCUGUAAAUUGAAGUAGGUUGGACCAGAUGACCUUUAACGUCACUUCCAACUCCACCUAUAUGAUCCCAAGUUAGUUUGGAGUCAUUUUUAAAUGGGAGAUUUAUUUUAUUUUUUUUAAUUGGAAAAAUUUAUUUAAUUGAUUAAUUUAGAAUAUUUUCCCAUGGUUAUGUGAUUCAUGUUCUUCCCUCCCCUCCCCUCCAUAGCCAAUGAGCAAUUCUACUGGGUUUUACUUGUGUCAUUGAUCAAGACCCAUUUCCAUAUUAUUGAUAAUUGCACUAGGGUGAUCGUUUAGAGUCUACAUCCCCAGUCAUAUCCCCAUCAACCCAUGUGGUCAAGCAGUUGUUUUUCUGCUGUGUUUCUACUCCUACAGUUUAUCCUCUGAAUGUGGAUAGUGCUUUUUCUCAUAACUCCCUCUGAGUUGUCUUGGACUACUGCAUUGCCACUAAUGGAGAAGUACAUUACAUUUGAUUGUACCACAGUGUAUCCAUCUCUGUGUACAUUGUUCUCCUGGUUCUGCUCCUCUCACUCUGUCUCCAUUCCUGGAGGUCGUUCCAGUUCACAAAAUGGGAGAUUUAUAAGAAAGACCUGAGCAGUAGUUUCACAAUGAGUAAACUCUCCGUGAUGGGCCUCCUUGGAUGUUUAUCCUUGAACACAAUGAGAUAUGAAACUCAAGGCUGUAGAUACUUCUUGAUAAAAGGGUACCAGGCAUAAACAUAAGAAAUUGGUUGAGACACCUAGCAGAUUGGCUAACAUUACAGCAAUGUAAAGUGAUGCAUGGUGGAGGGGAUGUGGCAAAGUAGGGAC
rnacentral:lncRNA from 1 species